UUGUUAUUCUCUCCGUCCGAAAAAGCAUGUCCCAGACUUGUCUCUUAAAUGGAUGUAUCUAGCACUAACUUGGUGCUAGAUAUAUCCAUUAGAGGGACAAGUUUUUCCGGACGGAGGGAGUAUUAU
rfam:Triticum aestivum genome assembly, contig: Triticum_aestivum_CS42_TGACv1_scaffold_157968_2DL